rnacentral:rRNA from 1 species
AUGCCGCCACCACCUCCACCUCCGCCCAGCCCUGCUCCGACGCCUGCCUCCUCCGCCGGGCCUGCACGCAUUCUCCCUGGACGGGCUCAAGUCUGUCACGAUAACCUCUCCAUCUCCAUCUCGCCCCGACGCUCCUCUGCUUCCAGUCGCUACAUUGCUGAUACUUGCAUUGACCGUUUGGAGCUGCUAGCUUGUUUGAAGGCUUCUUCCUCAAGAAGAGUUACUGUACUUGGAGUUUGUGCACCUGGUACUGACUCUUAUCUACGUUUCUUUGGACCUGACACACCAGACGAUCUUGUUCGUAUCUGA